AACUGGAAACUUACACCCUUUUCGCAAGAGGCAAGGUAGAAGGAGGAGAAAUAGGUUGGAGGCCCCAUUGUGUCAAACCUCAGGAUCUGCGCUGAGAUAAUAGAGUCAGUGGCUCCUGAGUAAAUACUAACACACCAUUACCAGCCUCAGGAAGAAGCCGGCAGGAGGCAGGAGCAGGGCAAAAGGUGAGGUGGGUUCUGGGCUGGAGUUGUAGACACGGCUGGAGGAAUGGGCCACUGAACUCCCACCAGACCGGUCAGCUGGGGCAGGCUUUGCCCUGCAGAUGGAAGCACGUGCCAGGGAGCGUGAUGGAAAUUGGAGAGUACAGAUCAUCGGGAUUCAAAAUGCAUGAUCUCAGCCGGGUGCACCCGCCCAAGGUGGCUGUGUUCGAACCCUCGGAAGCAGAGAUCGACCGGACCCAGAAGGCCACGCUCGUGUGCCUGGCCACGGGCUUCUACCCCGACCACGUGGAGCUGACCUGGUGGGUGAACAGGAAGCAGGUCACCACUGGGGUCAGCACGGACCCUGAGCCCUACAAGGAGGACCCCACGCGGGAGGACUCCAGAUACUGUCUGAGCAGCCGGCUGAGAGUGACCGCCACCUUCUGGCACAACCCCCGCAACCACUUCCGCUGCCAAGUCCAGUUCCACGGGCUCACGGAGAAGGACGAGUGGGAGCAGGACAGGGCCAAGCCCGUCACCCAGAACAUCAGCGCCGAGGCCUGGGGCAGAGCAGACUGUGGUGUCACCUCUGCGUCUUAUCAGCAAGGCGUCCUGUCUGCCACCCUCCUCUAUGAGAUCCUGCUGGGGAAGGCCACCCUGUACGCGGUGCUGGUCAGCGCCCUGGUGCUGAUGGCCAUGGUCAAGAGAAAAGAUUCCUGAAGCCAGCUUAGAAGUGGAGCCAGGAGCUUCCAGCCUGUUGCUGCCCUGAUGUGAGUUCUGCUUUUCCCAUUCCUACCCAGCGCUUCUGAAGAGCUGCCCUCAUCUCUGGACUCAGCCCAGCGUCCACUCCCAUGUGUGGGUGCCCCAAACUCUCAGGACCAGGAUCUCCCUAACCCAGGGGAGACCCUAGGGGGACUGAACUUGCUGAACCAAUAAAAAUGGCCUGUUGUGUUUUCA